AAGGCUUGACAUGAACCGGAAUGAUGCAGAGAUGUGUCAGCCACUUGUGGCCGGUUUACAGGUGGUGCAUGGUUGUCGUCAGCUCGUGUCGUGAGAUGUUGGGUUAAGUCCCGCAACGAGCGCAACCAUCGUUCCAUGUUGCCAGCGGGUUAUGCCGGGGACUCAUGGGAGACUGCCGGGGUCAACUCGGAGGAAGGUGGGGACGACGUCAAAUCAUCAUGCCCCUUAUGUCUUGGGCUUCACGCAUGCUACAAUGGCCGGUACAAAGGGUUGCGAUACUGUGAGGUGGAGCUAAUCCCAAAAAGCCGGUCUCAGUUCGGAUUGGGGUCUGCAACUCGACCCCAUGAAGUCGGAGUCGCUAGUAAUCGCAGAUCAGCAACGCUGCGGUGAAUACGUUCCCGGGCC
rnacentral:rRNA from 1 species